UUUGGGGACAGCUCCCUGUCUGCUGCAAGUAGCAAGGAGUCUCUCCCUUGCCCAUGUCACAACAGAGUAGACAGGUGGUGGGGUUUAUCUCUCUCUUCUGUUCUCAUUGCCUCCAGGGCCAGCUUUCUCUCAAUGCCCAGGUAAGCGAUGACAGCAAUUCUGCACAGCCCUCAGACAAGUCCUCGGGUGGCAGCCCAGACCAGGGAUAUGUGCCUGACCUUUCUCUUCCAUUUCUCCACCACCACUUUCUUGCUCCUCUUAGUGGCGUUCAGGGUCUCUGGUCUUAGGAGUGCUAUGCCUCACCCAAGUGGCUAUUGCAAGGGUUGUCUGUCUCAGGCUUACUCCUGCCCAGUCCUGUAGUCCCAGGCAGCGUUCUUUUAGUCUCUGGCUUGUUCCUUGUCUUGGGAGCCCAUCCAGGCCCCUUGGCACCAGAUUGGUGGUUGUCUCAAGCUCACUUUUUUCAGGCAAUCUUAAGCUACCAAUUAUUCAGAUGUUCACAGGUCAGAGCACUGAGUGUAGACAUAGCCCCUCUUCUCUCUGCCACCUGCUGACCCACAUGUGACAGAGCAGCCUCACCGGGGCAGGACACAGCUGACUUUUUUUAUGAAUGCUGGAGAUCAAACUCAGGUCUUCAUGCUUAUGUCACAAGCACGUUAACUGCCUGACAUGUUUCCUCAAUUUCACGUUCAUUUCUUUUUUCCUUUAUUUUAUGUGUAUGGGUGUUUUGCCUGAAUGUUUGUCUUGUACCACAUAUGUGCAGUGACUGCCGAGGCCAGAAACAGGCAGUGGAUCCUUUGGAACUUGAGUUAGAGACGGUCAUGAUCCUUCAUGUAGGUGUUGGGGAUUAAAGCCAGAUUCUCUGGAAGAUCUGUUGGUGCUCUUUAAUGCUGAGCUAUUCUCUGUCCCUUUUAUCACAUUUUAAAAAAAUUAAGUGUUUAAAUUUGCAUAGCAUAAGCAGUAGAUAUUAUCAAAAUAUUGUAUGGUCUUUUCAAUAAAACUUUAGAAUGAAGUUUUAGACCUAUAAAAUAGAGUUGCCCUUUAAGAGUUAUGACUUAAUUUUUCUCAAGUUAAGAUUUUUUUCUAUCAUCUCUGUUAUAACCAGGGCAUACAUUUUAUACAUUUUCCUUAUUUGCUCACCACUCAUUAUAUUGGUGUAUGUGUGUUCACCUGCAUGAUGUUGAAGCCAGAAGCUUAUGUUGGAUCUUUACUUCUAUCGUUCUCCAUGUAGUUUUCAUCAGGUUCUUACUGAAUCUAGGCUAGACUGUCAGGCCUUCCAGCCCCUGGGUCUGUGUGUGUGUUCUUCUUCGCAGUGCUGGGCUACAGGCUUGUGCCAGCAUACCCAGCCUUUUAUGGAGGCGCUGGGGAAAACUUGGAUCCGUAUGCUUAUGCAGCAAGCAUCCUAACAUGUGACACCAUUGCUUUAGCUGCUCUUUUUGUAUAUAUAAAAUAUACAGUGCUAUAAUAUAGUAUAUUUCACCAAAUAAAUUCUCAGUUAACAUUUAAAUAGGUGGCUUUUCAGGAACAAAUACUUGGAAUUUUAUAGUUAUUUUCUUUUUUUUUCCUAUUAAAAAUACUUUUUAACUUGUUGGGUCAGUAUUGUAAGCCAUUGCCCGAAUUCCUUUUCUUAUCACUGUUUCCUAAAACGGGCUCUCUAUUUCAGUGGUUCUUAACCUGUGACUUGCAACCCUUUCAUAGGGUUUGCCUGAGACCACCAGAAACACAGAUAAUUUACAUUACGAUUCACAACAGUAGCAAGAUUAAUUAUGAGAUAGC
rnacentral:lncRNA from 1 species